rnacentral:rRNA from 1 species
GACGAACGCUGGCGGCGUGCCUAAUACAUGCAAGUUGAGCGCUGAAGGUUGGUACUUGUACCAACUGGAUGAGCAGCGAACGGGUGAGUAACGCGUGGGGAAUCUGCCUUUGAGCGGGGGACAACAUUUGGAAACGAAUGCUAAUACCGCAUAAAAACUUUAAACACAAGUUUUAAGUUUGAAAGAUGCAAUUGCAUCACUCAAAGAUGAUCCCGCGUUGUAUUAGCUAGUUGGUGAGGUAAAGGCUCACCAAGGCGAUGAUACAUAGCCGACCUGAGAGGGUGAUCGGCCACAUUGGGACUGGGACCCGGCCCAAACGCCUACGGGAGGCAGCAGUAGGGAAUCUUCGGCCAUGGACGAAAGUCUGACCGAGCAACGCCGCGAGCGUGAAGAAGGUUUUCGGAUCGUAAAACUCUGUUGGUAGAGAAGAACGUUGGUGAGAGUGGAAAGCUCAUCAAGUGACGGUAACUACCCAGAAAGGGACGGCUAACUACGUG